UACGGGGGGGGCAAGCGUUGUUCGGAAUUACUGGGCGUAAAGGGCUCGUAGGCGGCCAACUAAGUCGGAUGUGAAAUCCCAGGCUUAACCUGGGAACUGCAUCCGAUACUGGAUGGCUUGAAUCCGGGAGAGGGAUGCAGAAUUCCAGGUGUAGCGGUGAAAUGCGUAGAUAUCUGGAGGAAUACCGGUGGCGAAGGCGGCAUCCUGGACCGGCAUUGACGCUGAUGAGCGAAAGCUAGGGGAGCAAACGGG
rnacentral:rRNA from 1 species